GCGAACGCUGGCGGCAGGCUUAACACAUGCAAGUCGAACGGGCACUUCGGUGCUAGUGGCCGACGGGUGAGUCACACGUGGGAACGUACCUUUCGGUUCGGAAUAAUCCAGGGAAACUUGGACUAAUACCGGAUACGCCCUUCGGGGGAAAGAUUCAUCGCCGAUAGAUCGGCCCGCGUCUGAUUAGCUAGUUGGUGAGGUAAUGGCUCACCAAGGCGACGAUCAGUAGCUGGUCUGAGAGGAUGAUCAGCCACAUUGGGACUGAGACACGGCCCAAACUCCUACGGGAAGCAGCAGUGGGGAAUAUUGGACAAUGGGCGCAAGCCUGAUCCAGCCAUGCCGCGUGAGUGAUGAAGGCCUUAGGGUUGUAAAGCUCUUUUGUCCGGGAAGAUAAUGACUGUACCGGAAGAAUAAGCCCCGGCUAACUUCGUG
rnacentral:rRNA from 1 species